rnacentral:sRNA from 1 species
AUUGCACGUGACGAUAAAACAGACAGGGACAUCAGAACUCCUUUCGGAGGAUGGUGAAUUGUCGAUGGGAAUCUCUCUGAUGCACUUAAUUAGUAUUGUUGUUAGAAUUUUAUGUUUUGCCAAUGAUGCAUUUCAAAUGCACGUAUUAUCAGAUAUAGAUAUGAUGAUAUAUGCUAAUAUUGUCACUACCUCUGAGGCA